ensembl:lncRNA
GCGCCAAGGUAUGAAACAACUUCAUUUAAAACAAAUAUCACAGGAUCUAUGCCAAAGGUUCCUGAAAUUUCUGUUAUGUUAAAACCCCUCAUGCAGGACAAUUUAUUAACAAAAUAAGUUUGAUCAACACAAAUACAUCACAUGAUCAAAUGGCAGUACCUCUUUUUAAUAUUCACUCCACAUGAUCCUACAAGGUGUGACCUUAGGAAAAAGGGUGUACUCUACCCUCUACUGGCAGGAAUGAAAUAUUCUUCAAAUGAAAACUUUUUUUUUCAUGUGAAGACUUAAAUAUCAGGGUAGUACAAAGGCAGUCUACUAAAAACAAAAUACCAAAAAUGUUAUAUAAUUUUCUUCCAUACACAAAACUCUGAUAAAGGAAUAUGCUCAAAAAUACAGACAUUGCCUUUGUUUGUACCUGCACCUACCAAUUAAAGACUCAACCAUAAACUCCACAACUUUUAAGUAUACAAAAAAAUAGCAAACAGCUACAAGCAAUUACGUUAUUUACAGCAACAAAUCUCUUGGUUGAUGAACUUAAAGAAGUUGGUAUCACAUCACAAAAUAGUGUAUUCCUUUUCAUUUUGGACGCCAGGAAAGGGAUCUGGUGCAGUGACAAGUUUUUUUAUGCACCACUCACAGAUAACAGCAGUCUUUAUCACAGUGGUUCCACAUCAACCCCGCUCCUUUCCAUAGGUUCAUUAGUCCUCUUGCAUUUACCACCUCCCUCUGUGAAAAGGUGGACACCCAAAUCCAGGCCUCCCAUUUCGGAAUUGCCUUGCUUCCCUGUCAUUUAUGCUCUCGGGUCCCAUGGAAGGGUGUCGAUGGAAAGGGGGACCACGAGGAGGGAAUGGCAUGGGCAUUCUGAACCUGUCUGAUGGAAACAUGGGUCCUCCGGGCAUCAUUUGUGGGGGCAUUUGUGGCAUGCUUGGAGGUGAGAGGAAAGGAGGCAUAUGAGGAUUUGUCAUGCCGGGAGGCGGCUGCAGAGGUGGCAUACCCGGGCUGGGUCCCUGCAUGAUAGCAGGGCUCGGCAGGGUCAUUACUGGUGAUGUGGGAUGCCCCAGCUGGUUGGCAGUCAUGACAUCAACAGAAGCACCUUUGUCUCCUUUAGGAUCUUCUGUGGACAUCUCUGGAGAUUUUAUACUUCCU